GCUGGCGCAGCUACACAUGCAGUCGAGCGGCAGCGGAAAGUACUUUGCUACUUUGCCGGCGAGCGGUGGAUUGGUGAGUAAUGUCUGGGAAACUGCCUGAUGGAGGGGGAUAACUAGGGGAAACGGUAGCUAAUACCGCAUAACGUCGCAAGACCAAAGAGGGGGACCUUCGGGCCUCUUGCCAUCAGAUGUGCUCCAUGAUGGGAUUAGCUAGUAGGUCGGGUAAUGGCUCGCACCGGUAAGCAACGAGCUCCUAGCUGGUCUGAGAGGAUGACCGAGCCACACUGGAACUCGAGUUACAUUCGGUCCAGACUCAUACGCGAGGCUAGCAGUGAGCAAUAGUGGCACAACUGGGCUGCAAGCAAGAUGCAAGCCAUGCCGCGUGUACGAAGAAGGCCUUUCCGGACUUGUAAACGUACGUUCGAGCGGAGAGGAAGCUGCUGAGCUCAAUAACCUCAGGCUAUUUGACCGUAACCCGCAGAAAAAGAUGCACAGACUAAUCUCCGUGCCAGCAACCGCUGAAGGUAAUACGGAAGCUGCAAGGCGUUAAUAGAAAUCACAGGGCGUAGCAGCCCACGCAGGGCGGUGCCCCCAAGUCAGAUGUGAAAUCUCCUGGGCCCUAACACGGGGAACCUCCAUUCGGAAACUGGACAGGCUAGAAUUCUCUGUAAAAGAGGGGGCAGCAAUUCCAGGCUGUAACCGGCGAAAUCGACGUAUCAGAUCUCGGAGGCAAACCAGGGGGCGAAAGGCACGCCCCCUUGGACCCAAAAACUGACCCCCAACGUGCAAAAAACAUGGGUUGUACCAAACAGGCCCACUUACAUACCCGGGGUACUCCACCCCGGAUAUCAACGAUGUCGACUUGGAGGUUCCCCCCUUAAGGCCGCCCCCCCUCCAAAAAAAACGCGUUACAGUCUUUUCCGACGGGAGUUCCCGGGGGAGUACGGCCGCAAGAUUUAAAAAUCAAAUGAAUUGACGGGGGCCCCCACAAGCGGGGGAGCAUCCCGCGUUUAAUUCAAAUGCAACCCGCGAACAACCUUCACCUACCCUGGACAUCCGAGAAAAAUUUCCUAAAGAUGGAUUGGUGCCUUCCGGGGGGAAAACUCUAAGACGAGGUGCUGCAUGGCUAAAAGUCGUCAGCUCGUGCUUCGUCUAAAAAAAUUGUUGGGUAAAAUCCCAGCAGAGUCGUUAGCGCAACACCCUAUCCUGUUGUGUGCUCAGCGGGGUCCGGCAGAAAACUACAAAAGAAUAAACUGCCAGUGAUAAACGUGGAGGAAGGUCGGAAUGACGUCAAGUCAUCUAAUGUGCCCUGACGAGUAGGGCUACACACGUGCUCCACAAUGGCGCGACUACAAAGACUGAAGCGACCUCGCGAGAGCCAAGCGAAAACCUCAAUAAACCCCCCACAUAGUCCUACGAGAUUGGAGCCUGCAACUCGCACAGAUCCAUGAAGUCGGAAUCGCUAGUAAUCGUAGAUCAGAAUGCUACGGUGAAUACGUUCCCGGGCCUUGUACACACCCCCAGUCGCACCAUGGGAGUGGGUUGCAAAAGAAGUAGGUAGCUUAACCUUCGGGAGGGCGCUACCACUGAUGUGGCAA
rnacentral:rRNA from 1 species